rnacentral:misc_RNA from 1 species
AGCUUUUACUUCCUUCUCAGGCACCGCAAAACAUACAGAAUGUUCACUACUAGCCUGAGAAAUCAUAAUAACAUUAGCUCCUACAUCCUUAACAGCACCAAAAAUGGCAUUGGCUGUACCUGGGACACCAGCCAUACCAGUGCCUUCAACAUUUACAAGGGCGACAUUGUCUAUUGUUGCGAAUCCUUUAACAAAAGACACUAGACUCUCACUUUCCUCAUCAACUGGGUGCCGGCAGAUCUUUGUUCCAGGUGCAGAGAGAUUGAAAAUAUUUCUUAUGAUAAUUGGGAUGUCAUAUCGCAUUACUGGAAUAAUUGUACGAGGAUGUAAAACAUUUGCACCAAAAUAUGACAUCUCCCAGGCUUCUUGAUAGGACAAUGUCUGUAAAACAACUGCCUCCUUAACUUUUCUCGGAUCUGCACUAUAAACACCAUCAACAUCAGUCCAAAUCGUGACUUGCCGAGAUGUUAGCAGAGCACCCAUUAUCGCAGCAGAAAAGUCACUUCCAUCUCUCUUUAAAGUAGUGGGUAUGUUUUCAUGUGUACUGGCAAUAAAACCAGUUGCAAUGAUUAUCUUGGAUGAGUUUUUGGAAUACCAUAGCUCAAGUCUUUUCUCAGACUCCAAAAAGUCUGGAUCAACUUGAUUUGAAGAAGUGGGAUUUACUAUCAAAACUUCCCUUGUAUCCAUCCACUUGCAAUCAAAACCCCUCUUUCUAAUAACAGCUGACAACAUACUAGCGGACCACAACUCUCCAUGUCCUACAACAAAAUCUGUAAAGGAUUCCAUGGCAUGGCCAGCAAUAUAAAUUGCUCGAAGCAUAGCCUUCAGAUUAUUAAUAUCAUGAUGCAACUGUGAUAAGAAACUGGCCAGUUCAUCCUCAUCAAGCAAAUCAUGUGCUGUUGAUUUAUGCUUUUCUAGAACCGCAUCCAAGGCAGAUACAUAAGACUCAUCCCGGGAUUGAGCCUUGUUAAUGAGGUCAUACAUCAUAUCCGUCACUUUUGACAUUGCAGAGACAACUACCAAUUUCCUCUCUGAAUCAUCGUUAACUAUUAUUUCAGCAACAUUCUUAAUUCUUUCUGAGUUACCCACACAGGUACCACCAAAUUUAUGGACGGACCAAACAUCACCCUUGGGAAGUUGAACAUUUUCAGUGGAUUUUUCCAGUGAGACGUCUGCAAUGGAAGCACAUAACUGUUUCCUUUGUGUCCCUCUUCUCGCCCGCUGACAGACAAGGGCCAUUCUAUGAAGCUUAGAACGAAAGAGUGAAAUGGGUUGUCGGCAUUUUGAGUGAGAGUAUAUGAUGUAUUUGGGAUUGGACUCAAUGGGCGUUGUUUGAGGCGAUGGAAGGUGAGAUGAGUGAGAUAGCACAUAGGAGAGCGACGCCAUUAGAAAUUGAAGAAAUGGGGUUUGACAGAGCCGGCGGCGGCGGUAUGUAAAUCAGUUUGCCUUCUUGUUCUUUGUGGGCUCUUGGGAUUUCAUUCAAGUUGAUGG